rnacentral:rRNA from 1 species
UAAGUUAUCGUUCAUUUGAUAGCACCUUACUACUUGGACAACCGUGGUAAUUCUAGAGCUAAUACAUGCUGAAAACCCCGACGUCAGGAGGGGUGUAUUUAUUAGAUUAAAAGCCAAUGCCCCCCGGGCUCUCUGGUGAUUCAUGAUAACUUGGCGGAUCGCACGGCCUUGCGCCGGCGAUGGUUCAUACAAAUUUCUUCCCUAUCAACUUUCGAUGUUUGGGUCUUGGCCAAACAUGGUUGCAACGGGUAACGGAGGGUUAGGGCUCGACCCCGGAGAAGGAGCCUGAGAGACGGCUACUACAUCCAAGGAAGGCAGCAGGCGCGCAAAUUACCCAAUCCCGACCCGGGGAGGUAGUGACAAUAAAUACUGAUACAGGGCUCUUUUGGGUCUUGUAAUUGGAAUGAGUACAUCCUAAAUCCCUUAACGAGGAACAAUUGGAGGGCAAGUCUGGUGCCAGCAGCCGCGGUAAUUCCAGCUCCAAUAGCGUAUAUUAAAGUUGUUGUGGUUAAAAAGCUCGUAGUUGAACCUCGGGCCUGGCUGGCCGGUCCGCCUCACCGCGUGCACUGGUCCGGCCGGGUCUUUCCCUCUGCGGAACCCCAUGCCCUUCGCUGGGCGUGGCGGGGAAACAGGACUUUUACUUUGAAAAAAUUAGAGUGCUCCAGGCAGGCCUAUGCUCGAAUACAUUAGCAUGGAAUAAUGAAAUAGGACGCGCGGUUCUAUUUUGUUGGUUUCUAGGACAGCCGUAAUGAUUGAUAGGGACAGUCGGGGGCAUCAGUAUUCAAUUGUCAGAGGUGAAAUUCUUGGAUUUAUUGAAGACUCACUACUGCGAAAGCAUUUGCCAAGGAUGUUUUCAUUAAUCAGGAACGAAAGUUAGGGGAUCGAAGACGAUCAGAUACCGUCGUAGUCUUAACCAUAAACUAUGCCGACUAGGGAUCGGACGAUGUUACUCC